rnacentral:tRNA from 1 species
GCCUGGGUGGCUCAGUCAGUUAAGCGGCUGACUUCAGCUUGGGUCACGAUCUCACGGUUUGUGGGUUCGAGCCCCACGCCAGGCU